rnacentral:rRNA from 1 species
AGCCAUGCAUGUCUAAGUAUAAGCAAUUAUACAGCGAAACUGCGAAUGGCUCAUUAAAUCAGUUAUCGUUUAUUUGAUAGUACCUUACUACAUGGAUAACCGUGGUAAUUCUAGAGCUAAUACAUGCUGAAAACCCCGACUUCGGAAGGGGUGUAUUUAUUAGAUUAAAAACCAAUGCCCUCCGGGGCUUACUGGUGAUUCAUGAUAACUUCUCGAAUCGCACGGCCUUGCGCCGGCGAUGGUUCAUUCAAAUUUCUGCCCUAUCAACUUUCGACGGCUGGGUCUUGGCCAGCCGUGGUGACAACGGGUAACGGAGGGUUAGGGCUCGACCCCGGAGAAAACGCCUGAGAAACGGCGUUUACAUCCAAGGAAGGCAGCAGGCGCGCAAAUUACCCAAUGCCGACACGGCGAGGUAGUGACGAGAAAUACUGAUACAGGGCUCUUUUGGGUCUUGUAAUUGGAAUGAGUACAAUUUAAAUCCCUUAACGAGGAACAAUUGGAGGGCAAGUCUGGUGCCAGCAGCCGCGGUAAUUCCAGCUCCAAUAGCGUAUAUUAAAGUUGUUGCAGUUAAAAAGCUCGUAGUUGAACCUUGGGCCUGGCUGGCCGGUCCGCCUCACCGCGUGCACUGGUCCGGCCGGGCCUUUCCCUCUGGGGAACCCCAUGCCCUUCACUGGGCGUGGCGGGGAACCAGGACUUUUACUUUGAAAAAAUUAGAGUGUUCAAAGCAGGCCUAUGCUCGAAUACAUUAGCAUGGAAUAAUAGAAUAGGACGUGCGGUUCUAUUUUGUUGGUUUCUAGGACCGCCGUAAUGAUUAAUAGGGACAG